UUUUUUUUUUAAUUAUUAUGGCAUUCCCAAAAACUGUUUUGGAGGGUGCUUUCCUGGCUGGUGGGCAAGGCAUGCGAUGCCCUUGGCACCUGCUGUCAGUAUGUGUUGCAAGAAAAAGGGCCAGUCACUGGUUUUCUGAACAAACUUUACCGUUUCUGGUCCAAAAUUAAGGGAUCGAAGAUACUGGUUGACAGGUUACAUAAAGUGUGUAUGUUAAAUGUUCAAGUUUAUGUGUUUUUUAUAUAUAUAUAUAUAUAAAAAUAUAUAUAUAUUCAGUUGGGAGUCUGGAAUAACUCCAGUGUGUGGAUUAAGAGUAAACUAUUAAGGAUGAUAAAGCACUAAAUAAAACAUAAUAUUUAUUUAUGAAAAUGCAUAAAUGACAAAUUGCUGCAACGGUGCUGUGUAGGAAAAUAAAGAGAGAGAUAUAUAUGUGAGGAGACACACUCUGAGAAAGCAAAAGGUCUGCGGUUGUUUAACUAGUGCCUGCCCAUUUUCUCCCAGGAUUUUACCCAAUGAAAGGCCAGAUUUUACCCUCAAGUCUCCUACGCGCUGUAAUCUGUACUGUUGUAAAGGGAUAUUCCGAAGGCCUAAGAAAACAGCCUAAGGCAAGCGUAGAAGUCAUUCUAGCACUAUGACAUUCAAGUUACCAGCUGCAUGGUUGACUUUCUGCAACACUUACUGAGUAUAUUGUGGUUUUAGCAAGUAUAGUGACUACAGGUUAGUACAUUUAUUUUGCCAGGUGUGGCCUUUUAAUGUCACUUCCAGAUUUUGGUAGUUUCACAGUUCACAUUGAUGAAGGCUUGGAAGUCAGUGGUGAAGAUAAUUGUGGCUUCAGUGCUCAGAAAUCUGGAAAUCCAGUUUUGAAAUGUAAAUCGCUGAAGAAAGUGUAGUUCAGCGACUUAUUGAGAUAGAUAAGAUGGCAGAGCUAAGUGGGAGAAGAAGAAAACAAAAAACAACUCACCAAAAAAAAAAAAAAGAGCUGCCAUCUAACAACUGCUAUCCUUUCUCUAGCACAAAGUUAUUUCUGUUAAAGAAAAGGUUGACAAUGUAAAGACUAAGAAACUAAUUUGUGUUCUUUUUUGAGAACCAGUGCCUUAUUAAACCUGUAAAUACUGUAAUUAGAAAACCCAGGGAACAAACUGUGUUACAUUGUGUUUGUUCAAACUGUAUAUGGUUGCUUUAACAUUCCCCCCAAAUAAAAUUGUUUCCAUCUCCCU
rnacentral:lncRNA from 1 species